rfam:Thalassospira sp. TSL5-1 contig0005, whole genome shotgun sequence.
GCGGCGAAUGCCAGUGGAACUACAUCAACUGUAAUGCCCAUGUCGCGGGUUCGAGUCCCGCCGUGGUCACGGCCACGUAGCUCAGUCGGUAGAGCAAAGCACUUACGUUUCACAACACACUUGUCGCCGCAGC